GAGUUUGAUCCUGGCUCAGAACUAACGCUGGCGGCGCGUCUUAAACAUGCAAGUCGAACGGGUGUAGCAAUACACCAGUGGCGAACGGGUGAGUAACACGUAGGUAAUCUACCUUCAGGUGGGGGAUAACUCAGGGAAACUUGAGCUAAUACCGCAAACGCCACAGACCCAUAAGUGUCUGUGGCUAAAGCAGCAAUGCGCCAGAAGAUGAGCCUGCGGCCUAUUACGGUAGUUGGCGGGGUAACGGCCCACCAAGCCUGCGAUGGGUAGCCGGCCUGAGAGGGUGAUCGGCCACACUGGAACUGAGAUACGGUCCAGACUCCUACGGGAGGCAGCAGUUAAGAAUCUUGCGCAAUGGGGGAAACCCUGACGCAGCGACGCCGCGUGCGGGAUGAAGGCCUUCGGGUUGUAAACCGCAAUAGGCAGGGACGAACGCAAUGACGGUACCUGUCGACAGCACCGGCUAAAUGCGUGCCAGCAGCCGCGGUAC
rnacentral:rRNA from 1 species